GGACAGGUGGCCGAGUGGUUAUGGCGCUACGUUUAGGUAAACAUAGAGCUCCUCAGUUCAUCCACCGUAGUGGGAAACCGCGUGGGUUCGAAUCCCACCCUGUUCA
rnacentral:tRNA from 1 species